CCCAAGCGCGGGCUACUCCGCAUGGUGAAGCUGAAGGACGAACCCAAGGAUGGAUGACCGGACAAGUGCCAAGACAAAGAAUGGUCGUCAAGUGCUCAUCGCCUAACCAACACUAACCUAGUGUUAUUCAGGCAAGCCCCGGUGCAUUUGCCACCUCCUUGAUGUUUUUAAACCUUUCUCACUUGCUUGAUGCAUUAGGUGAUAGGAGUUGAUUGUUAAAACAAUUCCUGCAUUACCUUCCUUGAAUUUGAUUACCUUCCUUGAUCACCCAUUUUACAAAAGAUUUUUGAUGCUUAGCCUUGCUUUAGAAAAACAAAAUGUUUUGUUUUUUACAAAAUAUGAUGUGGCAAAAGUGGGUGGGAUGUUUUCGAAAAUAAAACUUGAUGGUGGAUCCAUCAGGGCCUUGAUGGAUUCAACAUCUGGAAAAGAUGUACCUCUGCCAGGUACCAAACUUUGGGUUGAAAUGAUUAAGCUGAGACCGGGCGGGUGACUUGCACGAGAAAGAGAGUCUCGGUGUAGUGUCUCCGUCUCAGUCGAUUAAGGACCGUCUCGAUGUAGGCUUACUGACCAAGGACCCUUUAACUAGUCACAUGCCUCGUCAUGGGUAAGCCUUGCCUCGGGCAGACUAAGGCCAGAAUAAGAUAACACGGAAGAGGCUGGACGGUGGCGAGAGUAGCGUGUACCCUCCGUGGCAAGAGGCUGGACGGUGGUGUAUCUGUGCUCUCGGUUCGCGUGGACCUGAUCUGGUCUUAAGAACCCCGGUGGUGGGUUGACAUAUGCAAGGGUUAAGUGCUACAUAUGUCGUGUGAUUGGAGAUCCUCAGAUGAGUAUAAUCGAUUCGGAUCGCCGUACCUUCGCGAUCAUGAAGACUUGGUCACUGCCCUAUACGUAGAACUCAAGUAAAGAUAAAGGGUUGUUAAGAAAUUGGCUAGUGCAGGUCAAGUGCUUGAACUAGGGUAGAACGAACUCUAGAUGCAGGUAACUUUACCUAACCUGACAAUAAAAUUGGAUUUUAAGGAUCCACUUGUAGUAAGCUUUUCUGCAAAACAGAGUCUUUGAUUCUUGAUAAACCAUACCUUGACUCCCUGAUAACCAGCAUGCCCUUGAGAGUCUUUUCCUUAGUCGGGUAAGUCUUGCUGAGUAAUUUCGUACUCAGGGUUUUAUUCCCUGUUGUUUUUCAGGUUCUAACCUUGUGCUGCUGUGAUGGUGUUAAGUGCCGGUGGGCUCGGCCUUCUUAUAAGUCUAAGUAACCCUUCUAUACUUCUUAUUGAGGAUGGUCAUUUGAGCUAGCAUAUAUUUCAAACUUAUACUUUUGUAACCACUCCGAUAAAAUAAUGUAAAAUUUUUG
rnacentral:lncRNA from 1 species